GCCAGGAAGAGGGAGAAAGAGGUAAUCUAAGAGCAGUGGGAAUGGGAACAUGGAGGAAAAAUGAGCUAUUUCACUUCUAGAAUUGGAGGUGGAUAUUUGUCUCAGUAUUUUCCCGAUGCCUCCCAUUCCUAUCGUUCUUAGGUGCUCCUUCCUCUUCCUUUCAGCU
rfam:Oryza punctata chromosome 4, whole genome shotgun sequence.